rnacentral:tRNA from 1 species
GACACUUUGGCCGAGUGGUUAAGGCGCAGGUCUGCUAUGUCAGCCAUGACGUCAUAGUCAAUCUGUCUCUUCGGGGGCGUGAGUUCGAAUCUCACAGGUGUCG